AGAGUUUGAUCCUGGCUCAGGAUGAACGCUGGCGGCGUGCCUAAUACAUGCAAGUCGAACGCGGGCACUUGUGCCCGAGUGGCGAACGGGUGAGUAAUACAUAAGUAACCUGGCCUUUACAGGGGGAUAACUGCUGGAAACGGCAGCUAAGACCGCAUAGGUAGGGACACUGCAUGGUGACCGUAUUAAAAGUGCUGCAAGGCACUGGUAGAGGAUGGACUUAUGGCGCAUUAGCUGGUUGGUGAGGUAACGGCUCACCAAGGCGACGAUGCGUAGCCGACCUGAGAGGGUGACCGGCCACACUGGGACUGAGACACGGCCCAGACUCCUACGGGAGGCAGCAGUAGGGAAUUUUCGGCAAUGGGGGGAACCCUGACCGAGCAACGCCGCGUGAAGGAAGAAGGAAUUCGUUCUGUAAACUUCUGUUAUAAAGGAAGAAAGACGGAUGGAGGAAAUGACAUCCGAGUGACGGUACUUUAUGAGAAAGCCACGGCUAACUACGUGCCAGCAGCCGCGGUAAUACGUAGGUGGCAAGCGUUAUCCGGAAUUAUUGGGCGUAAAGAGGGAGCAGGCGGCAGCAAAGGUCUGUGGUGAAAGACUGAAGCUUAACUUCAGUAAGCCAUAGAAACCGGGCAGCUAGAGUGCAGGAGAGGAUCGUGGAAUUCCAUGUGUAGCGGUGAAAUGCGUAGAUAUAUGGAGGAACACCAGUGGCGAAGGCGACGAUCCGGCCCGCAACUGACGCUCAGUCCCGAAAGCGUGGGGAGCAAAUAGGAUUAGAUACCCUAGUAGUCCACGCCGUAAACGAUGAGUACUAAGUGUUGGAAGUCAAAUUUCAGUGCUGCAGUUAACGCAGUAAGUACUCCGCCUGAGUAGUACGUUCGCAAGAAUGAAACUCAAAGGAAUUGACGGGGGCCCGCACAAGCGGUGGAGCAUGUGGUUUAAUUCGAAGCAACGCGAAGAACCUUACCAGGUCUUGACAUACUCAUAAAGGAUCCAGAGAUGGAUAGAUAGUUAUAUGAGAUACAGGUGGUGCAUGGUUGUCGUCAGCUCGUGUCGUGAGAUGUUGGGUUAAGUCCCGCAACGAGCGCAACCCUUGUCGUUAGUUACCAUCAUUAAGUUGGGGACUCUAGCGAGACUGCCAGUGACAAGCUGGAGGAAGGCGGGGAUGACGUCAAAUCAUCAUGCCCCUUAUGACCUGGGCUACACACGUGCUACAAUGGAUGGUGCAGAGGGAAGCGAAGCCGCGAGGCGAAGCAAAACCCAUAAAACCAUUCUCAGUUCGGAUUGUAGUCUGCAACUCGACUACAUGAAGUUGGAAUCGCUAGUAAUCGCGAAUCAGCAUGUCGCGGUGAAUACGUUCUCGGGCCUUGCACUCACCGCCCGUCA
rnacentral:rRNA from 1 species